CCUACGGGUGGCAGCAGUGAGGAAUAUUGGUCAAUGGGCGCGAGCCUGAACCAGCCAAGUCGCGUGAGGGAAGACGGCCCUACGGGUUGUAAACCUCUUUUGCCGGGGAGCAACGGGCGCCACGUGUGGCGCCACUGAGAGUACCCGGAGAAAAAGCAUCGGCUAACUCCGUGCCAGCAGCCGCGGUAAUACGGAGGAUGCGAGCGUUAUCGGGAUUGUUUGGGUUUAAAGGGUGCGUAGGCGGAGCGUUAAGUCAGUGGGAAAAGUGAGGGGCUCAACCCCUGCCCGCCAUUGAAACUGGCGCUCUUGAGUGGAAGAGAGGGAUGCGGAAUGCGUGGUGUAGCGGUGAAAUGCAUAGAUAUCGCGCAGAACCCCGAUUGCGAAGGCAGCAUGCCGGCUUCCUACUGACGCUGAGGCACGAAAGCGUGGGGAUCGAACAGGAUUAGAUACCCCGGUAGUC
rnacentral:rRNA from 1 species